rnacentral:rRNA from 1 species
AGAGUUUGAUCAUGGUUCAGGAUGAACGGUAGGGACAGGCUUAACACAUGCAAGUCGAGGGGCAGCAGGGGGUGAAGCUUGUUUCACUCCGCUGGCGACCGGCGCACGGGUGAGUAACACGUAUGCAACCUGGCUGCCACAGGUGGAUAACCGGAAGAAAUUCCGACUAAUACAGCAUAACACCCCCGGGGGACAUCCUCCGGGGGUCAAAGGAGGCAACUCCGGUAGCAGAUGGGCAUGCGGCGCAUUAGGUAGUUGGUGAGGUAACGGCUCACCAAGCCGACGAUGCGUAGGGGUUCUGAGAGGAAGGUCCCCCACAUUGGAACUGAGACACGGUCCAAACUCCUACGGGAGGCAGCAGUGAGGAAUAUUGGUCAAUGGCCGCAAGGCUGAACCAGCCAAGUCGCGUGAGGGAAUAAGGCCCUAUGGGUCGUAAACCUCUUUUGUCAGGGAGCAAAGCCGCACACGAGUGAGCGGAAGGAGAGUACCUGAAGAAAAAGCAUCGGCUAACUCCGUGCCAGCAGCCGCGGUAAUACGGAGGAUGCGAGCGUUAUCCGGAUUUAUUGGGUUUAAAGGGUGCGCAGGCGGAGAGACAAGUCAGCGGUAAAAUUUCGGGGCUUAACCCCGGCGAGCCGUUGAAACUGUCUCCCUUGAGUGAGCGAGAAGUAAGCGGAAUGCGUGGUGUAGCGGUGAAAUGCAUAGAUAUCACGCAGAACGCCGAUUGCGAAGGCAGCUUACCGGCGCUCAACUGACGCUCAGGCACGAAAGUGCGGGUAUCGAACAGGAUUAGAUACCCUGGUAGUCCGCACAGUAAACGAUGAAUGCUAGAUGUUCGGUCCGACUGAGGGCUGAGUGUCACAGCGAAAGCGUUAAGCAUUCCA